CCCUUAGAUGUUCUGGGCCGCACGCGCGCUACACUGAAGGGAUCAACGUGUUCUCCCUUUCCGAGAGGAACGGGUAACCCGCUGAACCCCCUUCGUGGUAGGGAUCGGGCUUGCAAUUAUUCCCCGUGAACCAGGAAUUCCCAGUAAGCGCAAGUCAUAAGCUUGCGUUGAUUACGUCCCUGCCCUUUGUACACACCGCCCGUCGCUACUACCGAUUGAACGUUUUAGUGAGGUAUUUGGAUCGGCGCUCCGGAGGUUCGCGCCUCCGUUGUGCUGAAAAGACUCCCAAACUUGAGCGUUUAGAGGAAGUAAAAGUCGUAACA
rnacentral:rRNA from 1 species